AGUCAACAUGCCCAGGGGACGUGGAUAACCUCGGGAAACUGAGGAUAAACCGCGAUAGGUCAUCACUUCUGGAAUGGGUAAUGACUUAAACCUAUAUGGCCCCUGGAUUGGACUGCGGCCGAUCAGGCUGUUGGUGAGGUAAUGGCCCACCAAACCUGUAACCGGUACGGGCUCUGAGAGGAGGAGCCCGGAGAUGGGCACUGAGACAAGGGCCCAGGCCCUAUGGGGCGCAGCAGGCGCGAAACCUCUGCAAUAGGCGAAAGCUUGACAGGGUUACUCUGAGUGAUUUCCGUUAAGGAGAUUUUUUGGCACCUCUAAAAAUGGUGCAGAAUAAGGGGUGGGCAAGUCUGGUGUCAGCCGCCGCGGUAAUACCAGCACCCCGAGUGGUCGGGACGUUUAUUGGGCCUAAAGCAUCCGUAGCCGGUUCUACAAGUCUUCCGUUAAAUCCACCUGCUUAACAGAUGGGCUGCGGAAGAUACUAUAGAGCUAGGAGGCGGGAGAGGCAAGCGGUACUCGAUGGGUAGGGGUAAAAUCCGUUGAUCCAUUGAAGACCACCAGUGGCGAAGGCGGCUUGCCAGAACGCGCUCGACGGUGAGGGAUGAAAGCUGGGGGAGCAAACCGGAUUAGAUACCCGAGUAGUCCCAGCUGUAAACGAUGCAGACUCGGUGAUGAGUUGGCUUAUUGCUAACUCAGUGCCGCAGGGAAGCCGUUAAGUUUGCCGCCUGGGGAGUACGGUCGCAAGACUGAAACUUAA
rnacentral:rRNA from 1 species